rnacentral:rRNA from 1 species
GGGGAAUAUUGCACAAUGGACGAAAGUCUGAUGCAGCAACGCCGCGUGGAGGAUGACACAUUUCGGUGCGUAAACUCCUUUUAUAUAGGAAGAUAAUGACGGUACUAUAUGAAUAAGCACCGGCUAACUCCGUGCCAGCAGCCGCGGUAAUACGGAGGGUGCAAGCGUUACUCGGAAUCACUGGGCGUAAAGAGCGUGUAGGCGGGUAUAUAAGUCAGAAGUGAAAUCCAAUAGCUUAACUAUUGAACUGCUUUUGAAACUGUAUACCUAGAAUGUGGGAGAGGUAGAUGGAAUUUCUGGUGUAGGGGUAAAAUCCGUAGAGAUCAGAAGGAAUACCGAUUGCGAAGGCGAUCUACUGGAACAUUAUUGACGCUGAGACGCGAAAGCGUGGGGAGCAAAC